rnacentral:rRNA from 1 species
AGCGAACGCUGGCGGCAGGCCUAACACAUGCAAGUCGAACGAGGUCUUCGGACCUAGUGGCGGACGGGUGAGUAACACGUGGGAACGUGCCCUUUGGUACGGAAUAACUCAGGGAAACUUGAGCUAAUACCGUAUGUGCCCUUCGGGGGAAAGAUUUAUCGCCAUUGGAGCGGCACGCGUCUGAUUAGCUAGUUGGUGAGGUAACGGCUCACCAAGGCGACGAUCAGUAGCUGGUCUGAGAGGAUGACCAGCCACAUUGGGACUGAGACACGGCACAAACUCCUACGGGAGGCAGCAGUGGUGAAUCUUGCGCAAUGGGCGAAAGCCUGACGCAGCCAUGCCGGGUGGAUGAUGAAGGUCUUAGGAUUGUAAAAUCCUUUCACCGGUGAAGAUAAUGACUGUAGCCGGAGAAGAAGCCCCGGCUAACUUCGUGCCAGCCGCCGCAGUAA